UACGUAGGUGGCAAGCGUUGUCCGGAUUUAUUGGGCUUAAAGGGUGCGUAGGCGGCUUUGUAAGUCAGUGGUGAAAUAUGGCAGCUCAACUGUCAGGGUGCCAUUGAUACUGCGGAGCUUGAGUACAGAUGAGGUAGACGGAAUUGACGGUGUAGCGGUGAAAUGCUUAGAUAUCGUCAAGAACACCGAUAGCGAAGGCAGCUUACUAGGCUGUAACUGACGCUGAGGCACGAAAGUGUGGGGAUCAAACAGG
rnacentral:rRNA from 1 species